CACCAUUAUGUGGUAUGUAUUUUUUUCUGGGUUAAAUAAAUAAAUAGGAAAUUUCUUUAAAAAAAAAAAAGAAAAAAAAUUAAACAAAAAAACAAAACAACCAAACAAACUGUGAUCAAGAGUGCUUCUUUUGUACAUGCUAUAGCAGGUUUGUUAAAAUUAUUUUUUAGAGUAUUUAAUGUUCUAAUGUGGAAUGGCUAUAUUAAAAUAAAUUAACC